CUCUGUUUACAAGCUAGCGCCACCGGAGGGGCCCGCGGCCCAUUAGCUAGUUGGUGAGGUAACGGCUCACCAAGGCGACGAUAGGUAGCCGGCCUGAGAGGGCGACCGGCCACACUGGAACUGAGACACGGUCCAGACUCCUACGGGAGGCAGCAGUGAGGAAUAUUGCGCAAUGGGCGAAAGCCUGACGCAGCGACGCCGCGUGGAGGAUGAAGGUCUUCGGAUUGUAAACUCCUGUCGUCCGGGACGAAUGCCGGGGAGGUUAACAGCCUCUUCGGUUGACGGUACCGGAGGAGGAAGCCCCGGCUAACUCCGUGCCAGCAGCCGCGGUAAUACGGAGGGGGCCAGCGUUGUUCGGAAUCAUUGGGCGUAAAGGGCGCGUAGGCGGCUGGUCAAGUCGGACGUGAAAUCCCUCGGCUCAACCGAGGAACUGCGUCCGAUACUGUCCGGCUUGAGUCCCGGAGAGGGUAGUGGAAUUCCCAGUGUAGCGGUGAAAUGCGUAGAUACUGGGAGGAACACCAGUGGCGAAGGCGGCUACCUGGACGGGUACUGACGCUGAGGCGCGAAAGCUAGGGGAGCAAACAGGGUUAGAU
rnacentral:rRNA from 1 species